rfam:Marine metagenome 1096626441974, whole genome shotgun sequence.
AAGGGACGGCCCCCGAUGCCGGCUUGCAGAAGUGGGCUUCAACCGCCAACAAGCUGCGUGGGCAAAGAGCCUUCUUGUUGAACGUUGAUGGAAAAGUCGGGGACAACCCCGGCAGGU